UACAAUACAGAACCAGUUGGACUGACAGGAAACUGCAGAGAGAGAGGAGGAGAGGACCAGGCUGCAGCGACGCCAGCAGCAGGAGGAGGAGGGAGAAGAAACCACUCCCACCAAGCCAGGAGACUGGGUGUUUAUCAAAGUCAUAAAGAGGAAGAGCUGGGCCAGCCCGCGGUGGGAGGGACCAUUCCAAGUGCUGAUAACAACUCCAACUGCUGUAAAGAUUGCUGAACGACCCAACUGGAUUCAUCUCAGUCACUGUAAGUUGCAGAGAGUGUUGGAAGCCUAGGUGGGAGCAGGUGGGAGUCCACCUUCACAGGGGUUAGGCUUUUUAGGGUCACUCGUCUCAACGGUGGUGAAGAAAUCAUCAACCCCCUGUUCUAUAGAGUCCUAGGUACAUUCUAACAUCUCUGUAAUCUGAGCAGCAAUGGGAUUCUCAUACGCCAGGUGGAAUCUCUGCUGCGCUGUGACUGCAGCAUGUUUUUUGUUCUGGAGUGGAAGCUGCCUCAGCCUCCACAAGAUAAGGAGAGAAGCACAAACACUCUUCCCCCAGUCUCAUCCACAUGACUACAGCACUAACCUGUGGUGGCAACUAAUGAACAGGACUGCUCAUGAGGUGAACGAGGUGAACCCCUAUGUGUGUGCACAGCUGCCCUACGCCACACACAACUGAGGCCUUUGAUCAGGAGCUGCCGCUAAAGGACUUUUUGGAGCUAUGAACUGUUCACUUGCUGCUGAUGUUCUUCCAUUUCCACAAACUGUGAUGAAAAUACCAGAGACCAUUUCCUUGGCAGGAGCCAAACCAGGAUCUCUCAGGAGCUGCAUUUAUAACAAUGGACCUACAACACUAGGAAUGCUCCCAUGGAACCUGUGUAACACAGUUUACACCUUCUGCGAGACAACACCGGAAUUCGUCGCCUGCAGAGGUCAGGAGCCAACCUCAGGAUGCAGCAUCUGGAACGACAAUCCAGACUGUCACAAUUUGCUUCAGGAAAGGAGGUUCGACGUUCGACAUCACUCAGCAGACAAGAGGACGACAGGAGACAGCUCGUUGCAGCGCCAUAGUGCCAGGAGACUAUGGUCAACGGGUGAUGGCUGACUGGUACUUCCUGUGCGGACAUGGAACUUACAUGUUUUUGAAAACCGUGUUGUGUUGGCUUUUCUCACAACCUCUCAAGGAAGCGCCUGCAAGAUCAUAGGUUCAACAUGAGAUGAAAGAGGAACUGGUGGAACUAUUCAUGAUGCCCUGCAUGAUUUGGAAGAGCUUAAGAACUAUGUGGACAGUGCAACUCAGGGCUCACAAACUUUUGACUUUCUUUCUUGGCUGACCUCCAGACUCUGGUGGCAGCUUUUGGUUAACAUUGGAACACCCAUCUUGACUGGACUGAUUCUAUUCUGUCUGUUCACAACCUGCCUCAUUUCAUGUUUUCAAAGCAUGCUGUUAAAGACAUUUAACACUGCUCCGCUCAGCUAUCAGUUGGUCAGGGUAACCUCUGACACAGAUGAGGACUACAUGUUGCUCCAGAAGAAAGAAGAUGACUGGAAAAUGAGUACAUGAGGUGAUGUCUUGUAAAUUAAUAAACAGAUUAAAUCAUUUGCUUGAUGACUCCUACACUGAAAAUGUGAAAACAAAUGGUGUUAGUGAUGAUAACUGCACUUGAUUUUCUGCUGUUUGUUUGUUUUUGGGUUGUUGUUUUUUUUCUGUGUUCUUAUUCUUACAUUCAACAUUAUUAUAUUAUUAACACCACAUUAUAUGCAUUUGGUUUUUAAUGUUUCUUUUACAUUUCUUUUUUUUCUAUCCUUCUUAUUUUAUAUAUUAUGCAUUCUACAACUCUUGUAUCACAUGUGUAAUUCAUUCUUUUUCUUUUUAUACUUUUUUUUUUUUGCAUAAUUAUUACGUAAGAAUUAUAAACAGGGGGGAAUGUUAGAAUAAUUAUGUUUUGUUAUAAUUCUUACAUUGGUAGUUAUAAUAGAUUUAGUAUUCACAUCCCUGAGAAAAGCUCUCAUACUUGUUAGACUUUGGAGCUGCAGCUGUGUACAGACCUUGAAGCUGCAGCCACUUGUAUUUUCGGGAUACUCCUAUCUGCCUCCCUCCACAUUCCUUUUCUACUAUCUACUUUGUAAUAAAAGAGAAAGCCCUAACAAAGGAUCUUCAGAGCGCUCGGUGAACGGCUGGAAGCAGCGGUUUGCUGGGUUCUCCCCUUUUGCAAAAGCUUUCAUAAAAUUCA